AGCGGCGGACGGGUGAGAGGCGACCUAACCUGCCCUGUACACACGGAUAACAUACCGAGAGGUAUGCUAAUACGAGAUAAUAUGCUUUUAUCGCAUGGUAGAAGUAUCAAAGCUCCGGCGGUACAGGAUGGACCCGCGUCUGAUUAGCUAGUUGGUAAGGUAACGGCUUACCAAGGCGACGAUCAGUAGCCGACCUGAGAGGGUGAUCGGCCACAUUGGAACUGAGACACGGUCCAAACUCCUACGGGAGGCAGCAGUGGGGAAUAUUGCACAAUGGGCGAAAGCCUGAUGCAGCAACGCCGCGUGAGCGAUGAAGGCCUUCGGGUCGCAAAGCUCUGUCCUCAAGGAAGAUAAUGACGGUACUUGAGGAGGAAGCCCCGGCUAACUACGUGCCAGCAGCCGCGGUAAUACGUAGGGGGCUAGCGUUAUCCGGAAUUACUGGGCGUAAAGGGUGCGUAGGUGGUUUCUUAAGUCAGAGGUGAAAGGCUACGGCUCAACCGUAGUAAGCCUUUGAAACUGGGAAACUUGAGUGCAGGAGAGGAGAGUGGAAUUCCUAGUGUAGCGGUGAAAUGCGUAGAUAUUAGGAGGAACACUAGUUGCGAAGGCGGCUCUCUGGACUGUAACUGACACUGAGGCACGAAAGCGUGGGGAGCAAACAGGAUUAGAUACCCUGGUAGUCCACGCCGUAAACGAUGAGUACUAGCUGU
rnacentral:rRNA from 1 species